rnacentral:rRNA from 1 species
GCGCAGCAGGCGAGAAACCUCCGCAAUGCGGGAAACCGCGACGGGGUCAGCCGGAGUGCUCGCGCAUCGCGCGGGCUGUCGGGGUGCCUAAAAAGCACCCCAUAGCAAGGGCCGGGCAAGGCCGGUGGCAGCCGCCGCGGUAAUACCGGCGGCCCGAGUGGCGGUCACUUUUAUUGGGCCUAAAGCGUCCGUAGCCGGGCUGGUAAGUCCUCCGGGAAAUCUGGUCGCUUAACGAUCAGACUUCCGGAGGAUACUGCCAGCCUAGGGACCGGGAGAGGCCGGGGGUAUUCCCGGGGUAGGGGUGAAAUCCUGUAAUCCCGGGAGGACCACCUGUGGCGAAGGCGCCCCGGCUGGAACGGGUCCGACGGUGAGGGACGAAGGCCAGGGGAGCGAACC